AUUGAACGCUGGCGGCAGGCCUAACACAUGCAAGUCGAGCGAGCGGCGGACGGGUGAGUAAUGUAUGGGGACUGCCCGAUAGAGGGGGAUAACUACUGGAAACGGUGGCUAAUACCGCAUACUGUCGGCUAACCAAUAUGGGAUUAGCUAGGAGGUAAGGUAAUGGCUGACCUAGGCGACGAUCCCUUGCUGGUCUGAGAGGAUGAUCAGCCACACUGGGACUGGGACACGGCGCAAAGUCCUACGGAGGCAGCAGUGGGGAAGAUUGCACAAUGGGCGAAAGCCUGAUUCAGCCAUGCAGCGUGUAUGAAGAAGGCCCUAGGGUUGUAGAGUACUUUCAGUCGGGAGGCGUUACCGACAGAAGAAGCACCGGCUAACUCCGUGCCAGCAGCCGCGGUAAUUC
rnacentral:rRNA from 1 species